CCUACGGGAGGCAGCAGUGAGGAAUAUUGGUCAAUGGGCGCGAGCCUGAUCCAGCCAAGUAGCGUGAAGGAUGACUGCCCUCCGGGUUGUAAACUUUUUUUAUAAAGGAAUAAGGUGAGGCACGUGUGCCUCUUUGUAUGUACUUUAUUAAUAUGGAUCGUCUAACUUCGUGCCAGCAGCCGCGGUAAUACGUAGGAUCCGAGCGUUAUCCGGAUUGAUUGGGUUUAAAGGGGGCGUAGAUGGGUCGUUAAGUCAGUUGUGAAAGUUUGCGGCUCAACCGUAAAAUUGCAAUUGAUACUGGCAGUCUUGAGUACAGUUGAGGUAGGCGGAAUUCGUGGUGUAGCGGUGAAAUGCUUAGAUAUCACGAAGAACUCCGAUGGCGAAGGCAGCUUACUAAACUGCCACUGACAUUGAUGCUCGAAAGUGUGGGUAUCAAACAGGAUUAGACACCCCUGUAGUC
rnacentral:rRNA from 1 species